rnacentral:rRNA from 1 species
AACGAACGCUGGCGGCAUGCCUAACACAUGCAAGUCGAACGAGACCUUCGGGUCUAGUGGCGCACGGGUGCGUAACGCGUGGGAACCUUCCCUUAGGUUCGGAAUAACCCCCCGAAAGGGGUGCUAAUACCGGAUAAUGUCUUCGGACCAAAGAUCUAUCGCCUUUGGAUGGGCCCGCGUUGGAUUAGCUAGUUGGUAGGGUAAAAGCCUACCAAGGCGACGAUCCAUAGCUGGUCUGAGAGGAUGAUCAGCCACACUGGGACUGAGACACGGCCCAGACUCCUACGGGAGGCAGCAGUGGGGAAUAUUGGACAAUGGGCGAAAGCCUGAUCCAGCAAUGCCGCGUGAGUGAUGAAGGCCUUAGGGUUGUAAAGCUCUUUUACCCGGGAUGAUAAUGACAGUACCGGGAGAAUAAGCUCCGGCUAACUCCGUG